GCUGGGCUCCUUGCGACUUUCUCCCCUCUUAGCCACUAUCCAAAGAGGCUCGGGGCACACGGAGUCCACAGCCUGCGUCUGGGCCCCACCUGCCGCACCCCGUGACCUUGACGUGCAGUUAGACCUCCUAAGCCCCGUCUCCCUCGGUUGGGAAGGGAGGUGGGUGGGUGGGUGAAGUAAUGACACCCGAGGAAGCUGAUGUGCUGACCCCUGGCCCUUUGUCGAACUGCAGACCUGUGGUUCAAUCUCGGAGCUCCUUGUAGGUGGGGAAACUGAGGCACAAGAAGAUUUUUUUUUUUUUUUUUUUGUUUGUUUUUCUUUUUCUCUUUUAGGAGCCCGUGCUGACGGGUGGCAUGGCGGAGGGUGAGCCCAGCUCUGUCACGAAGGCCGGUGCCCUCGGCCUGCCCUGUGGGUCUUAGUGCCAGGCCUGGAGGCACCCUUGGUUUCUAUAUGACAAGCGUUCACGUGCAGCUUGCUCAACGCACAGGCGCGUGGGCUCUGGGCCCCCCCGCUCUCACGGGUGCCCCGUUUCAAACCAUGAAGGUUGCUCGGGAAGGGGACGUCAAGGUCAAGAUGGGCACUUGGAGGCUUUGGAUGCCGAAGCAGUUUUACUUGGACCGAGUCAGCUGAAGGAGCACGUGGGCCUAAAAUUAGGCAAGUGUGUGUGUGCUGAGAGCGAGUUCACACGCUCACAACUCCUGUGGGCAGAUUUGCGUUGCCUUCCUCUGUCUGUUAAUGGUACAAUCUGUUCAGACCUUUGGAACAUUCCUCAGCUUUUAUUUAAUGUAGGAAGAAUCAUUUUGGGAAUUAGCAUAUAAAUUGUCAAAGGUCAGCA